GGCAGGGUAUUUUAAUUAAAAUACCGAUUUUGUACAUCGGAGAACUGUAGAGACCUGCCU
rnacentral:tRNA from 1 species